AGCAGUCGCCGCGGUAAUACGUAGGUGGCGAGCGUUGUCCGGAAUUAUUGGGCGUAAAGGGAGCGCAGGCGGACAUAUAAGUCCAUCUUAAAAGUGCGGGGCUCAACCCCGUGAGGGGAUGGAAACUGUAUGCCUUGAGUGCAGGAGAGGAAAGCGGAAUUCCCAGUGUAGCGGUGAAAUGCGUAGAUAUUGGGAGGAACACCAGUGGCGAAGGCGGCUUUCUGGACUGUAACUGACGCUGAGGCUCGAAAGCCAGGGGAGCGAACGGGAUUAGAUACCCCAGUAGUCCCUGUCUCUUAUACA
rnacentral:rRNA from 1 species